rnacentral:tRNA from 1 species
UGGGAGGUCAUCUAGCGGUAGGAUUCGGGUCUCUGGAACCCGACACGAUGGUUCGAAUCCAUCCCUCCCAG